GACGAACGCUGGCGGCGUGCCUAAUACAUGCAAGUCGAACGCAGUGGGGACGGGUGAGUAACACGUGGGUAACCUCCCAUCAGAGGGGAUAACACUUGGAAAAAGGUGCUAAACCGAUACUGAUGGAUGGACCCGCGGUGCAUUCGCUAGUUGGUUAGGUAACGGCUCAACAAGGCCACGAUCCAUAGCCGGCCUGAGAGGUUGAUCCGCCACACUGGAACUAAGACACGGCCCAGACUCCUACGUGAGGCAGCAGUAGGGAAGAUUCUGCAAUGGGCGAAAGUCUGACCGAGCCACGCCGCGUGAGUGAAGAAGGUUUUCGGAUCGUAAAACUCUGUUGGUAGAGAAGCGGUAUCUAACCAGAAAGCCACGGCUAACUACGUGCCAGCAGCCGCGGUAAUUC
rnacentral:rRNA from 1 species